rnacentral:rRNA from 1 species
UUAAUUCGAAGCAACGCGCAGAACCUUACCAGCGUUUGACAUCCUGAUCGCGGAUUAGAGAGAUCUUUUCCUUCAGUUCGGCUGGAUCAGUGACAGGUGCUGCAUGGCUGUCGUCAGCUCGUGUCGUGAGAUGUUGGGUUAAGUCCCGCAACGAGCGCAACCCUCAUCCCUAGUUGCCAUCAUUCAGUUGGGCACUCUAAGGAAACUGCCGGUGAUAAGCCGGAGGAAGGUGGGGAUGACGUCAAGUCCUCAUGGCCCUUACGCGCUGGGCUACACACGUGCUACAAUGGCGGUGACAGUGGGCAGCAACCUCGCGAGAGGUAGCUAAUCUCCAAAAGCCGUCUCAGUUCGGAUUGUUCUCUGCAACUCGAGAGCAUGAAGGCGGAAUCGCUAGUAAUCGCGGAUCAGCAUGCCGCGGUGAAUACGUUCCCAGGCCUUGUACACACCGCC